rnacentral:misc_RNA from 1 species
AAGUCGUAACAAGGUUUCCGUAGGUGAACCUGCGGAAGGAUCAUUACCUAGAGUUUGUGGGCUUUGCCCGCUACCUCUUACCCAUGUCUUUUGAGUACUUACGUUUCCUCGGCGGGUUCGCCCGCCGACUGGACAAAAUUAAACCCUUUGUAGUAGCAGUAACUUCAGUUAAUAAUAAAUAUUAAAACUUUCAACAACGGAUCUCUUGGUUCUG